UUUUUUCCUGCUUCAUUUUUAAUUUCAACUAAAAAACAAGCCUCUCUCCCUCCCUCAAAGUUUCCAGCAGCCAAACAUGGCCACGCCGGCGAGCGGCCGUUCUGAGGCCGGGGCUCCGUCAUGGGCGGUGGUCGGAGCAAGAAAAGAGGGGUUUUGAACCCCGUUCUCGACCUCCACCUUAAGGCCCGAUCCUCCAGACGCAACGAGCCAAAAAAGGAGAGACCUUUCAUCCAUUUCUCGGUCCGAUUCCAGCACCGAAGACGGUCUCCGGGGACAGACUUUCGAGACCGGUAAGAAUCCUUUCUCUCUUUUGUUUCGUUUAAAAAGUUAUAGAAAAUAAAUAAAAAAGGAAGAAAAUAAACAAAAAAGAAACGCAAGAACAGAAAAGAAAAUAGACUGAGAUCAACCUUUUUUGCUUUUUGAUCUUCUUGUUAUUAAUUCGUUGUAUUUUUGUGAAAAUGUUACAAAAGAAAAAGAAAAGACCCGAUUACCGUGAUGAAGCCCCCCUGCUUUCGGUUUACAAAUUGAUUUUUAUACCCAAAAGAAAAGAAAAUAAAAAAUCAAUCUUUGCUGUUGUCCUUUAGGUCUUUGCUUGUUUCUCUCUGUUUGGCCUCUGUUUUUGCAGGAGUAGGUGCGGCGUCAGAGGCAGGAGCGUACGGCACACAUGGCCCUGGCAUGCGGCGCUGGAGAAGGCAGGGAACCCUAGGGUUCCCUGAUUUUUAAUUUUUGGGCCCAAUUGGGCCAAUUUAGUUUUUUGGGCCUACUGUUUUUGGGUUAAUGGGCCCGGGCAAAUUUGGGCCUAUACAGUCAUAAUUCUGACAUAUGGCCCAAAUAGAUAGUUUGCACUCCCAGUCCCCUCUCUUGGUAUCAUAAGUAUCUUUUAAACAACUCUAAAGCUGCUUAAUUUUAAACUUUCUUUGUAUUCUUUUAAUUGAAAACAUUUCAAAUAUAUAUUAUCCAAUAAGUUAUAAAAGUUUCCGGUUGUCCUCUACUUUUUAGUAUAAUGUCACCAGUAAACAUUAAAUGAUUAAAGCUGUAUGCAAAACUACAGGGCAAUUUUUGUGCUCUUUUUGGACUGGGUUUCGGUGAACUGGGCUUCAAGAGGGCUGAAAAUGAUGGGCCUGCAAAAUAGAGAAAGAUUAGCCAUGGUGGCUGUUGAGACUUUAACUAUCCAGUCCACAUUGUUUGAGACAAUACUUGGGAUAGCUUGUUUCAUUCCUUAUUCGAUUUGGGACUGUAUAUUGGAACAAUUAAAGUGCAAUAAGUUUGUUAGUAUUUUUUAUUUGAUUUAUCUUGGUUAGUUUUCUAUCAAGAAAUGAUUCUUGAUUUGAAGUUACAAUUAUUUUUCUCUUGAUUUAAUUUCGAAUGAAAGAAAUAGAAGAGAGGUUGAUUAAAUGC
rnacentral:lncRNA from 1 species